rnacentral:lncRNA from 1 species
UCAGCUGAAGAGCAGCUUUAGGUCGUCUGUUACAAGAGGACUGGUAGUCCCCAGGGGCAUUUCGGGAUCCCCGUUUAAAGUAUCUUCCGGAAAGACCAGGACCCCUUGCUUCACUGUCAAAGCUGUUCAAUCCGACAAGGUAAGCUAGCUAUGUCUGUCUGGUCACUGUUAGCUUAGCUAAGCUCGUCACUGCACUAAGUUUUUUUAUCACCCCCCCCCCUCUUCCGUCUCCUUUUGCAGUCAACAUUUCAAGUAAUCCAACCCAUCAACGGCGACCCCUUCAUUGGAAGCCUGGAGACUCCAAUCACCUCAAGCCCCUUAAUUGCAUGGUACCUUUCCAACCUCCCAGCCUAUAGGACGGCAGUGAACCCACUUCUGAGGGGAAUCGAAGUGGGUCUGGCUCACGGCUUCCUCCUGGUUGGUCCAUUCGUAAAGGCCGGCCCUCUAAGGAACACUGCGGUGGCGGGUCAAGCUGGGUCCUUAGCCGCUGCCGGUUUGGUUGUGAUCCUCAGCAUUUGCUUGACGAUGUAUGGCGUUGCGUCGUUCAAAGAAGGUGAGCCAUCGAUAGCACCGAGCCUAACCCUGACUGGGAGGAAGAAAGAGCCAGACCAGUUGCAAACGGCGGAUGGAUGGGCUAAGUUCACUGGAGGGUUCUUCUUUGGUGGAAUCUCUGGUGUCACUUGGGCUUACUUCCUCCUGUAUGUCCUUGACCUUCCUUACUACUUUAAGUAGAUCAUCAUUUGAUCUAUGUUUUACCUGGUCCCUUUUUUAAUGUAAAUCAUUGUAUUCAGGAUGAUCCUUUG